GUCGAAUAUAGUAGAUAGUUUAUUCAUGAGGCUUUUUAAGUUUUAUUGUAGAAUAAAUGUAGAUCUAUUUAAAAUCAUGAUCUUUCAAGGGAUGAUCCCAUUAAAAGAUUACAAAAUGAAAUAAGUCACGGUUUUUAUUUUCAUAAGAUAGAUGAAAAUUUGUGUUUCAAGUUAGAAAACCAUGCAUGAUUCUAAUUUUUCCACUGAUAUUUCAGUUAUGUUUGGCCAUUAUAAAUGCUUAAUUAACUUUAAAGAUUAACAAAAUAUUUUGUUUAAUACAUUCCAGAAUUUUAUUGAAUUUCGAAUAAGAAUAUCUUGUUAUAAAAUAAAAGAAAACUUUUUCAUUCAAACAAGGUCCGAAAGAUGAUGAACUUUUUAUGCUUUUUUAUAACCAAGAGAAAUGAUGGACUUUUUUGUGCACCAAAGAUGAUGAACAAUAGUCAAUCACUGUUUUGUUUGUCCCAAUAUAUCACUUAUUUAGCUCAAAAAAUCAAUAAUUAGAUGCAAAGAUUUUUACGACUUUUCUACUAUUUUGGUCAAUUAGCGCAAAUAUUUAUGUUGAUUUACUAC
rnacentral:lncRNA from 1 species